UACGUAGGGUGCGAGCGUUGUCCGGAUUUACUGGGCGUAAAGCGUGCGCAGGCGGUUUUGUAAGCCAGAUGUGAAAUCCCCGGGCUUAACCUGGGAAUGGCAUUUGGGACUGCAAGGCUUGAGUGCGGCAGAGGAGACUGGAAUUCCUGGUGUAGCAGUGAAAUGCGUAGAUAUCAGGAGGAACACCGAUGGCGAAGGCAGGUCUCUGGGCUGACACUGACGCUCAUGCACGAAAGCGUGGGGAGCAAACAGG
rnacentral:rRNA from 1 species